rnacentral:rRNA from 1 species
CCUACGGGAUGCCGCAGUGAGGAAUAUUGGUCAAUGGGCGUAAGCCUGAACCAGCCAAGUCGCGUGAGGGAUGAAGGUUCUAUGGAUCGUAAACCUCUUUUAUAAGGGAAUAAAGUGCGGGACGUGUCCCGUUUUGUAUGUACCUUAUGAAUAAGGAUCGGCUAACUCCGUGCCAGCAGCCGCGGUAAUACGGAGGAUCCGAGCGUUAUACGGAUUUAUUGGGUUUAAAGGGUGCGUAGGCGGCCUUUUAAGUCAGCGGUGAAAGUCUGUGGCUCAACCAUAGAAUUGCCGUUGAAACUGGGAGGCUUGAGUAUGUUUGAGGCAGGCGGAAUGCGUGGUGUAGCGGUGAAAUGCUUAGAUAUCACGCAGAACCCCGAUUGCGAAGGCAGCCUACCAAGCCAUGACUGACGCUGAUGCACGAAAGCGUGGGGAUCAAACAGGAUUAGAUACCCGUGUAGUC